rnacentral:misc_RNA from 1 species
UUUCCGUAGGUGAACCUGCGGAAGGAUCAUUACUGAGUUUUGAAUGAAGUUGUUCUUGUCUUUCGGGGCAAGUGGACGCCUCUCCCAAUCCUUCAUGCACCUGUGCACCCAUCGGGGAGGGCUUGGAUCUGAGUUGGCUUAGGACGGCGAUCUACAGGCACCUUUGUAUACCAAAUAAAAGUUUUAGAAAGUCUUUUUUGCUUGUUGCUGACUUAAAUAGAUACAACUUUCAGCAACGGAUCUCUUGGCUCUC